CCUUAUCCAUGUUGCUUGAAGCAAAUCCCUUAAAAUCUCUGAUCUUAUACUUUCUUAUCUAUAAAAAAGAUGACUAUUGAGGUGCCUUAAAUCUAUGUUCCUAUACAUAACAUAUUUCAGGGUUAUGGAGAUAAUCAGGGGUUGAACCUUUACCUUCUGUACUGGAACCUGUGGAGGUCAGCACAUGGAGUACAAGUUGAGAUGGCACUGUGGAGACUAUUACCCAAUGGAGCAUGCAUGGAUAAGCUUGUAACCUGGGUCAUUUAGAUGGCUCAAGCCACUUUCAGAUAUGGAAUCUGAAGCAGAGAAAGCUUAAAUCACUUGUGCAGAGUUGCCCAUCCAGGAAGUGAGGUAAGAUUGGAAAUCUGGUCUUCUUGACUCCAAAUCUCAAGCACUUUCCACCAUACCAUCUUUACGUCCAAAACUAUCCUCGAAGAUACAAAGAAAGUUGACAAUGGCAAAAUGAGCACAGCAAAGCACUGUGGAGUGCUUAGGGCGUGUGGGAGCACCAAGGACAACAUGGCCAUCCAAUGCAGCUGAGGAAGUCUCCAGGUGUAACGACUUUUCGUGCCACUGGAUUCAGGCUUCCAACGCUGAGAGAGUGGGACUGUCUCUGUGCAUCGGCUUUUCCACUUAAAUCUCCUUCACGCACAAGUAUCUUUGUGCACAUUCAUCUACAUCACAGAUGAAAACGCACAAAGACAAUCGUCAUCCUCCAUUACCGAGAGACUACUACUACUACAUAUGAGGAAACCUGAUCAAAGAGGUUAAAUAGCAUAUGCAUGAUUAUACCAGCUGUAUAACAUUUACAUUUCCAAUCCAAGAGUCAGUCCUAGUUGUUCUGAUUCCAGAUCUAGGACCUUUUUUUUUUUUAUCAUAUUGCCUUAUUUGGUAAAAACCAGCUUUCUUAAGAAGCUCAGUGAAAAUUGGAGGAAAUAGUUUAUUAGCUCUCCCAAUCCAUGGGCUCUGUAACCACAAAAUGUAAUCAUUUUGCUAUUGGAUUUCUUAAUGACAACCUCUUCCUUCUCUGUUUUGCAAGAAGAAAAAUAAAAUGUUUCCUUAAUAAGGAACAAUUUAAAAAUA